AUGCCUUACACAUGCAAGUCGAACGGCAGCACGGGAGCAAUCCUGGUGGCGAGUGGCGAACGGGUGAGUAAUGUAUCGGAACGUACCUUUCAGUGGGGGAUAACGUAGCGAAAGUUACGCUAAUACCGCAUAUUCUGUGAGCAGGAAAGCAGGGGAUCGCAAGACCUUGCGCUGAUUGAGCGGCCGAUAUCAGAUUAGCUAGUUGGUGAGGUAAAGGCUCACCAAGGCGACGAUCUGUAGCGGGUCUGAGAGGAUGAUCCGCCACACUGGAACUGAGACACGGUCCAGACUCCUACGGGAGGCAGCAGUGGGGAAUUUUGGACAAUGGGCGCAACCCUGAUCCAGCCAUGCCGCGUGAGUGAAGAAGGCCUUCGGGUUGUAAAGCUCUUUCAGCCGGGAAGAAAACGCAUGGGUUAAUACCCUGUGUGGAUGACGGUACCGGAAUAAGAAGCACCGGCUAACUACGUGCCAGCAGCCGCGGUAAUACGUAGGGUGCGAGCGUUAAUCGGAAUUACUGGGCGUAAAGCGUGCGCAGGCGGUUUGUUAAGAUAGGCGUGAAAUCUCCGGGCUCAACCUGGGAACUGCGUUUAUGACUGGCAGGCUAGAGUAUGGCAGAGGGGGGUGGAAUUCCACGUGUAGCAGUGAAAUGCGUAGAGAUGUGGAGGAACACCGAUGGCGAAGGCAGCCCCCUGGGCCAAUACUGACGCUCAUGCACGAAAGCGUGGGUAGCAAACAGGAUUAGAUACCCUGGUAGUCCACGCCCUAAACGAUGUCAACUAGGUGUUGGGAGGGUAAAACCUUUUAGUACCGGAGCUAACGCGUGAAGUUGACCGCCUGGGGAGUACGGCCGCAAGGUUAAAACUCAAAGGAAUUGACGGGGACCCGCACAAGCGGUGGAUGAUGUGGAUUAAUUCGAUGCAACGCGAAAAACCUUACCUACCCUUGACAUGUCCGGAAGCCCUUAGAGAUUUGGGUGUGCUCGAAAGAGAGCCGGAACACAGGUGCUGCAUGGCUGUCGUCAGCUCGUGUCGUGAGAUGUUGGGUUAAGUCCCGCAACGAGCGCAACCCUUGUCGUUAAUUGCCAUCAUUUAGUUGGGCACUUUAACGAGACUGCCGGUGACAAACCGGAGGAAGGUGGGGAUGACGUCAAGUCCUCAUGGCCCUUAUGGGUAGGGCUUCACACGUCAUACAAUGGUCGGUACAAAGGGUUGCCAACCCGCGAGGGGGAGCCAAUCCCAGAAAGCCGAUCGUAGUCCGGAUUGUAGGCUGCAACUCGCCUGCGUGAAGUCGGAAUCGCUAGUAAUCGUGGAUCAGCAUGUCACGGUGAAUACGUUCCCGGGUCUUGUACACACCGCCCGUCACACAAUGGGAGCGGGUUCCGCCAGAAGUAGGUAGCCUAACCGCAAGGAGGGCGCUUACCACGGCGGGGUUCGUGACUGGGGUGAAGUCGUAACAAGGUAGCCGU
rnacentral:rRNA from 1 species